GGCAACUUGGCCGAGCGGUCUAAGGCGCCAGAAUCAGGAUUCUUACGAACCUUAUCUGGUCUUUCGGGGCGUGAGUUCGAAUCUCACAGUUGUCA